rnacentral:rRNA from 1 species
CCUACGGGAGGCAGCAGUGAGGAAUAUUGGUCAAUGGGCGAGAGCCUGAACCAGCCAAGUCGCGUGAAGGAUGACGGCCCUACGGGUUGUAAACUUCUUUUGCCGGGGAGCAACGGGCGCCACGUGUGGCGCCACUGAGAGUACCCGGAGACAAAGCAUCGGCUAACUCCGGGCCAGCAGCCGCGGUAAUACGGAGGAUGCGAGCGUUAUCCGUCUUUAUUGGGUUUAAAGGGUGCGUAGGCGGAUCGUUAAGUCAGUGGUCAAAUUGAGGGGCUCAACCCCUUCCCGCCAUUGAAACUGGCGCUCUUGAGUGGAAGAGAAGUAUGCGGAAUGCGUGGUGUAGCGGUG